rnacentral:rRNA from 1 species
GACAGAGGGUGCAACCGUUGUUCGGAAUUACUGGGCGUAAAGCGCGUGUAGGCGGCUCUGCAAGUCGGGUGUGAAAUCCCAUGGCUCAACCAUGGAAGUGCACUCGAAACUGCAGGGCUAGAGUCCUGGAGAGGAAGGUGGAAUGCUUGGUGUAGAGGUGAAAUUCGUAGAUAUCAAGCGGAACACCGGUGGCGAAGGCGGCCUUCUGGACAGUGACUGACGCUGAGACGCGAAAGCGUGGGGAGCAAACAGG